GAGAAUGCAGCCCACGCAUGGAAGAAAGAACACCCCCGCAAUUAGAUUUUUCUCAAGUGACGUUGGUGCUUAUUUUGCUGUGGUAACGGUGUUGGUGCGAGCUGCUUUUGACGAGACCAUGCAGGAGGCUCUCCCCGGUUUGCUGUUCAGUGCUGGAUGACAUGCUCUCCUGUGUGCUGGAUACUGGUGAAACAGCAGCGGAAUGAUGGUGAAGUGGAAAAGGCUGCUAAUCAAACAGAAUUCUAAAACAUACAUAAUAAUCCAUAAUAUUCACUCUUGUAUGUAUCUCUUUUUGUUGGAAAAGGGUACAGAUGUUUGAUGCUUCCUUGUGUGGUGUGUCCAUCACCUGAUGCACUGCGCUGUUUCUUCUCCCACUCUGUCUCAUACACUCACCUACAGACUGAAAGUUAAAAUCACAGAAUAUGUUAUCAUUCACAUCUCUCUUUAAUAUAGGGCCUCUUGUAAAACAGCCAUCUAUAUCAUCUGUGUUCUCCUCUACCUAUAUUCUACAUAGUAUUUAAUACCAUUGCCAUGCAAAGAGAGCAGGGCUUUGCUAAAAACCUGCAUACUGUUGACCUCCUUGUUUCGUAAUGUAAAUGGCUGGUGCUCUGUUCUAAAGAAACAUCUAUAUAUACCUUAGUACAUCUAUAAAUACAUUACCAUGUCUGGCUAAUGUGAGCUGCUCUUACAAAUAUGUAUUUUGUCAUGUAGUUGUUUGUGAGGUAUUGGUGUGUAUGGGUGUGACUGACCACAUACAUCUGAAGUGAAUGAUGAUGUACCUGUGGGUGUGAGUUAUGGCAUUAGGGUGUUUUUACAGGACAUUGUGAAAUUACAGUAGGGUAUGUUAAAACAGGUCUAUAGAAAAACAAGUGUGACCUUAUAAUAGAGAGUUGUGAUGUGACUGUAUCUGUGGUGUGAUAUAACAUCUAUCCCUUUCUCUUUCUCUGUCCUAGUUGGCAGUGAUAUUCAAGGUAGAGGAGCUGCUUUCUCAACUG